rnacentral:lncRNA from 1 species
AGUGAGGCCAUUGAUGUGUGGGCCCUUGGUUGUGUGCUUGUAUUCCUCUACAUUGGAGAAAACCUCUUCUCUGUGUUCUGUGAAUACCAAACGAUGAAGCGUGUUUCAGAGCUCCUUGGGUUACCGAGGGACGACCAGCUUCAGGCCGGGGCUUACACCAGUGUCUUCUUUUGUGAGGCCGAGGAGGGCUCAAAAUGGCGACUGAUGACACCAGAGGAAUAUGAAUUUCAUAACAUCAUCUCAACUAAGGAGGAACACUAUAGUGUUAAGAUCUCUACUUUGGAUGAUCUGGUCAAUGUUCAUUCAGGAGAAGAAAGUGGUGAGGUUGAGGACAGAGAAGCCUUCGUGGACCUGCUGAAGCAGCUUCUCUGCUUGGAUGGAAAUGAAAGGAUCUCUCCCUGUCAGGCUCAGUUCCAUCCUUUCUUCAGAACAUCCCACCUCAACCAGCAGGAGACCAUCAGACACCAUCAACCCUCAUUACAGGCUGAUGAGACCUCCUGCC